rnacentral:rRNA from 1 species
UACGUAGGGGGCAAGCGUUGUCCGGAAUUAUUGGGCGUAAAGCGCGCGUAGGCGGCCACUUAAGUCGGAUGUGAAAGCCCCUGGCUCAACUGGGGAAGUGCACCCGAAACUGAAUGGCUUGAAUACAAAAGAGGGUCGCGGAAUUCCCGGUGUAGAGGUGAAAUUCGUAGAUAUUCGGAGGAACACCAGAAGCGAAGGCGGCCAACUGGCCCGAUACUGACGCUGAGGCGCGACAGCGUGGGGAUCAAACAGG